rnacentral:rRNA from 1 species
AGUGAACGCUGGCGGUAGGCCUAACACAUGCAAGUCGAACGGCAGCACAGUAAGAGCUUGCUCUUACGGGUGGCGAGUGGCGGACGGGUGAGGAAUACAUCGGAAUCUACUUUUUCGUGGGGGAUAACGUAGGGAAACUCACGCUAAUACCGCAUACGACCUACGGGUGAAAGCAGGGGAUCUUCGGACCUUGCGCGAUUGAAUGAGCCGAUGUCGGAUUAGCUAGUUGGCGGGGUAAAGGCCCACCAAGGCGACGAUCCGUAGCUGGUCUGAGAGGAUGAUCAGCCACACUGGAAGUGAGACACGGUCCAGACUCCUACGGGAGGCAGCAGUGGGGAAUAUUGGAGAAUGGGCGCAAGCCUGAUCCAGCCAUACCGCGUGGGUGAAGAAGGCCUUCGGGUUGUAAAGACCUUUUGUUGGGAAAGAAAAGCAGCAGGUUAAUACCCCGCUGUUCUGACGGUACCCAAAGAAUAAGCACCGGCUAACUUCGUG